rnacentral:rRNA from 1 species
CAUUGAUUAGACGAAAGCAUGGGUAGCAAACAGGAUUUGGUACCCUGGUAGUCCAUGCUUUAAACUAUGAAUAUUAAAUAUUUAAAUUUUUUAUUUGAGUUAAAUUUGAUAUUAAAGUUAACACGUGAAAUAUUCCGCCUGGGGAGUAAAACCGCAAGGUUGAAACUCAAAGGAAUUGACGGGAGCUUAUACUUACGGUGGAGCAUGUGGUUUAAUCCGAAAGUCCGCGUGGAAUCUUACCAAUUUUUGACAAUUUAGAAUUAAAAAUCUAAUACAGGUGUUGCAUGGCCGUCGUUAGCUUAUGUUUUGAAAUUUAAGAUAUAAGUAGAACCCUUAUUUUAAUUUGGCUAAUAUUUAAAAAUUAAAAUUAUUUAUAA